rnacentral:rRNA from 1 species
CGGACGGGUGAGUAAUGUCUGGGAAACUGCCUGAUGGAGGGGGAUAACUACUGGAAACGGUAGCUAAUACCGCAUAACGUCGCAAGACCAAAGAGGGGGACCGUAGGGCCUCUUGCCAUCGGAUGUGCCCAGAUGGGAUUAGCUAGUAGGUGGGGUAACGGCUCACCUAGGCGACGAUCCCUAGCUGGUCUGAGAGGAUGACCAGCCACACUGGAACUGAGACACGGUCCAG